UUUCAGCUAGGAGAAAACAAAAGUCAAAACAACAGCAGUUUUAAAAGGGAGAGGAACAGACAAAGGAAGCACAUUGUGAGGUCUGUGCAGGAGCGAGAGAUAGAAACUGACACAUCAAUGAACCUGCGAAGUUACUGUCUUUGCUGUUUGAAUUCAUGUAUCGCUGGACAUCAGAGUGCAUCUGGGAAAAUUAACAAACGGUGAAAUUCACAGCUUAUCUUGGAGGAAUACUUUUGGGAGAGGUCACAGCACAGAAACAGAAACCAUGAAUGAGAAAAAGCGAUUCAGCCCAUCAAACUGGUUUCUGGCACAAACUUGCAUCUUAAUGCCAUAUUG